rnacentral:tRNA from 1 species
GACCGUGUAGUUCAGUUGGUAGGCGUCGAUCUAGUAAUUCGAAGGUCGCGGGUUCAAGACCAGCCGCGGCA